GAUGAACGCUGGCGGCGUGCCUAAUACAUGCAAGUCGAGCGAACAGACGAGGAGCUUGCUCCUCUGACGUUAGCGGCGGACGGGUGAGUAACACGUGGAUAACCUACCUAUAAGACUGGGAUAACUUCGGAAAACCGGAGCUAAUACCGGAUAAUAUAUUGAACCGCAUGGUUCAAUAGUGAAAGACGGUUUUGCUGUCGCUUAUAGAUGGAUCCGCGCCGCAUUAGCUAGUUGGUAAGGUAACGGCUUACCAAGGCAACGAUGCGUAGCCGACCUGAGAGGGUGAUCGGCCACACUGGAACUGAGACACGGUCCAGACUCCUACGGGAGGCAGCAGUAGGGAAUCUUCCGCAAUGGGCGAAAGCCUGACGGAGCAACGCCGCGUGAGUGAUGAAGGUCUUCGGAUCGUAAAACUCUGUUAUUAGGGAAGAACAAAUGUGUAAGUAACUAUGCACGUCUUGACGGUACCUAAUCAGAAAGCCACGGCUAACUACGUG
rnacentral:rRNA from 1 species